rnacentral:rRNA from 1 species
AAUGAACGCUGGCGGCGUGCUUAACACAUGCAAGUCGAACGAGGCCUGGGGGGCAACUCCCAGAGUCGAGUGGCGGACGGGUGAGUAACACGUGGGUAACCUGCCCGGAAGUAGGGAAUACCUCGGGGAAACUCGAGCUAAUUCCGCAUGACAUCUACGGGACGAAAGUCCUGACGAUCAAAGCGGGGUCGCAAGAUCUCGCGCUACCGGAUGGGCCCGCGCCCGAUUAGCUAGUUGGUGAGGUAAAGGCCUACCAAGCCGACGAUCUGUAGCUGGGCUGAGAGGACGACCAGCCACACUGGGACUGAGACACGGCCCAGACUCCUACGGGGGGCAGCAGUGGGGAAUUUUGGACAAUGGGCGCAAGCCUGAUCCAGCCAUUCCGCGUGCAGGAAGAAGGCCUUCGGGUUGUAAACUGCUUUUGUACGGAACGAAACGCGCUGAGCUAAUACCUCGGCGUAAUGACGGUACCGUAAGAAUAAGCACCGGCUAACUACGUGCCAGCAGCCGCCGUAACAC